rnacentral:lncRNA from 1 species
GGGAUACCGGCUAAAUCUAGAUAAAACCAAGGCACUCAUGCUCAAUAUAGUACCAAACCACAGACAAGAGAUACAAAACACAUACCCAUUCAGAUACAACACCUCACACAUCUCAUACUUAGGAAUCGCUCUACAAGUGGAACUACACCGCACAUCCGCACUAAACUUCACUCUGAUACAAAAACCAACAAACGACCUGCUCCGCUGGGGGGACUUGUCUUUGUCGUGGCUGGGAUGGCUAGCCUCGAUAAAGAUGAAUCUGCUACCAUGCUACAUUUAACCCUCCCCAUUCCAACACGGAUUUCAAAUACAUACAAACACACAUAGACAAAUUCAUCUGGGUGAAUAAACGACCCAGAAUAAAACGAACAAUGAUGUACAUCCCCAAUAGAACUGGAGGUCUGGGUCUAACCCAUCUCCAACACUACUACCAUGCUGCCCAACUCCACGCACCACCAGGGAUCAAACCGUGGGUUGAACUGGCACACGACCUAUUUGGCUUCGACUUCCCCUCCCUCUACCUCUGGGUACCAAGAAAAUCCAGACCCAUGCCACAACCAACACCCACAACACUAUCAAACUCCAUCGCCAUAUGGGACAAACUCACCAAGAAAUUCCCCAUCAACAAUAACCCAACACCACUAACCCCCAUACUGUGCAAUAAAGCCUUCCUCCCAGGCAUUAACCCGAAAGACUUUGCACACUAUGAAUACAAUGACCUCUAUAGGUUCUACCACUUCUUUGUUGGUGGGAAACUACUACAUUACAAUAAACUACCACAACCACACUGAACUUACAACACUCACGACCUCUUCAGAUACAUACAAUUGAGGAGCUUCCUGGAACUCCCAGAAAACACAACAGCAGCCACCACUAGACUUACAACGUUCGAAAGAACAUGCAUACACAACCCAAAUCACAAAGGACAGAUCACUAAAAAUUACACACUAUUAAUUACUAACCAACCACCGGGAGCAAUGGCAUAUGUGGCGGCUUGGGAGAGGGACCUGGACCACCAGAUGACCCGACAGACUGGCAGGAGAUAUGGGAGGCCACGGCAUCCAUAUCCAUAUGCGUAAAUCAGAAAUAACAGGCCUACAAAACUAUGAUGAGAUGGUACCUAACACCUACACGGCUAUACCACAUGGGAAAGACGGACACAGACCUGUGCUGGAAGCAGAGCGGACACAGGGGCACAUAUAUACACCUUUAAUGGCAAUGUCCCAAGCUGACACCACUAUGGACAGAAGUAGCACACCUGAUCUCCGACCUCCUCCACACCGACAUACCCCUAGACCUCUGGGUAUGGCUCCUGUCCAAGCCAUGGGAACCCCUAACUAGAGCACAAAACAAACUCACGAACAUUCAAAUGCACAGACUGACACUCAUAGAAAUACAAACAGUGACACACAUGCAGACAAACAGAUACAAACAGUGACAUACAGUUGCCUAAGCAACUAGACGAGCAAUAGCAGAACUCUGGGGCACCCCAAAUAUACCCACACUAGCUGUAGUCAUACGCAAAACUAGGGAGGCCAUGGAGAUGGACAGGCUCUCAGCCAAGAUCCACGAAACAUCACAUCACUUCUAUAAAAUUUGGGACCCAUGGCUGAACGAGCCCUCCCUAACAUGAGACCCCACAGCACCAAUACCACCCAAACACUAGGCCAAACAGCAGGACCCCGCACCCAUACCACGAGGGAGGGGGGACCUCAGCCUUUAUGAUAGAGGGAUAUCCCUGGCACAGACUGGGGUGGAUGGCCCACACAGGAGCUCAUCCAAGCAACCCAUGAGCAGGCCUAACACACAAGAUCACACCCAAAGAGCACGCAUGGCCGCAACAAAAGCGCCCAAAACACGCCCAUGCAGGGAACCGAAAU